rnacentral:rRNA from 1 species
UACGUAGGGUGCGAGCGUUGUCCGGAAUUAUUGGGCGUAAAGGGCUCGUAGGCGGUUUGUCACGUCGGGAGUGAAAACUCAGGGCUCAACCCUGAGCCUGCUUCCGAUACGGGCAGACUAGAGGUAUGCAGGGGAGAACGGAAUUCCUGGUGUAGCGGUGAAAUGCGUAGAUAUCUGGAGGAACACCGGUGGCGAAGGCGGCAUCCUGGACCGGUAUUGACGCUGAGGCGCGAAAGCCAGGGGAGCAAACGGG